GUUUCCUGGUAGAGUCUGAGAAUGAGCUCCUUGCAACUUUCACAUUAUCAUAUUACAAUAUUCACCACUGAUUAUUCGUACUCAAGGAUCGAUGAGUCAUAGGGCUGGAUAGAAUAAACCUUCAGCGAUCAUCUCUGCCUCUGGGGCAUCUCUGCACCAUGAAUUGAAUAACAAGAGAGAGAAAGAGCAAGAGAGCACAAGCAGGAGAGUGGCAUGCAGAGGGAGAAGCAGGGAGAGAGAGAAGUAGGCUCCCCAUUGAGCAAAGAAACCAAUGUGGGACUCAAUCCCAGGACCCUGGGAUCAUGACCUGAACUGAAGGCAGAUUCUUAACCAACUGAGCCACCCAGGCAUCCCUCCCAUUGAUUUUCAAGGAUAUAUUUGGCAUCAAAUUCAAGACAAAAGAAGACACAAACUUUAGUCUGUGGUUUGAGUCCCCCAACCUUCGUGAAGGUGUUUGUUUCCACCCACUGACUCACAAAGGUACCAUUGCUCAAAGAACAUCUCAAUCUGUUUAUAAUUUGAGAAUAGA
rnacentral:lncRNA from 1 species